GUUGAAACACCGAUGCUCGUACGAACACCGAAGUUAAACAAUGUCAAGCCUGGUCAGUACUUAGAUGGGUGACCGCUUGAGAAUACCCUGUUCUGUA